UGAUGAGUAAAUGGAGGCUCCUGGUCCAU
rnacentral:piRNA from 1 species